rnacentral:rRNA from 1 species
UGAGGAAUAUUGGUCAAUGGGCGCAGGCCUGAACCAGCCAAGUAGCGUGAAGGAUGACUGCCCUAUGGGUUGUAAACUUCUUUUAUAUGGGAAUAAAGUUUUCCACGUGUGGAAUUUUGUAUGUACCAUAUGAAUAAGGAUCGGCUAACUCCGUGCCAGCAGCCGCGGUAAUACGGAGGAUCCGAGCGUUAUCCGGAGUUAUUGGGUUUAAAGGGAGCGUAGGUGGACAGUUAAGUCAGUUGUGAAAGUUUGCGGCUCAACCGUAAAAUUGCAGUUGAUACUGGCUGUCUUGAGUACAGUAGAGGUGGGCGGAAUUCGUGGUGUAGCGGUGAAAUGCUUAGAUAUCACGAAGAACUCCGAUUGCGAAGGCAGCUCACUGGACUGCAACUGACACUGAUGCUCGAAAGUGUGGGUAUCAAACAGG